rnacentral:rRNA from 1 species
GUGGGGAAUAUUGGACAAUGGGGGGAACCCUGAUCCAGCCAUGCCGCGUGUGUGAAGAAGGCCUUUUGGUUGUAAAGCACUUUAAGCGAGGAGGAGGCUACCGAGAUUAAUACUCUUGGAUAGUGGACGUUACUCGCAGAAUAAGCACCGGCUAACUCUGUGCCAGCAGCCGCGGUAAUACAGAGGGUGCAAGCGUUAAUCGGAUUUACUGGGCGUACAGCGCGCGUAGGUGGCCAAUUAAGUCAAAUGUGAAAUCCCCGAGCUUAACAUGGGAAUUGCAUUCGAUACUGGUUGGCUAGAGUAUGGGAGAGGAUGGUAGAAUUCCAGGUGUAGCGGUGAAAUGCGUAGAGAUCUGGAGGAAUACCGAUGGCGAAGGCAGCCAUCUGGCCUAAUACUGACACUGAGGUGCGAAAGCAUGGGGAGCAAACAGGAUUAGAUACCCCGGUAGUCC